CCCUUAGAUGUUCUGGGCCGCACGCGCGCUACACUGAUGCAUUCAACGAGCCUAUCCUUGACCGACAGGUCCGGGUAAUCUUUGAAUCUGCAUCGUGACGGGGAUAGAUUAUUGCAAUUAUUAAUCUUCAACGAGGAAUGCCUAGUAGGCGCAAGUCAUCAGCUUGCGUCGAUUACGUCCCUGCCCUUUGUACACACCGCCCGUCGCUACUACCGAUUGAAUGGUUUAGUGAGGCCUUCGGAUCCGCGACUCGUUUGUGGAGAAGUUGGACAAACUCAGUCAUUUAGAGGAAGUAAAAGUCGUAACA
rnacentral:rRNA from 1 species